CCAGAUGUUGCUGAACUACAACUCCCAUGAUUCUCAGCCUAACUAUUUAAUUCAUAGAAUCAUGGGAGUUGUAGUUCAGCAACAUCUGG
rnacentral:miRNA from 1 species